rnacentral:misc_RNA from 1 species
GAUGAAGAACGUAGCGAAAUGCGAUACUUGGUGUGAAUUGCAGAAUCCCGUGAACCAUCGAGUCUUUGAACGCAAGUUGCGCCCGAAGCCAUUAGGCCGAGGGCACGCCUGCCUGGGCGUCACACGUCGUUGCCCCCCCAUCUACUCCUUCGGGAUUGCGGGGGGCGGAUGAUGGCCUCUCGUGCGCCUCGUCGCGCGGUUGGCCUAAAUGCCAAGUCCUCGGCGACGCACGCCACGACAAUCGGUGGUUGCGAAACCUCGGUUGCCUGUCGUGUGCGGUCGUCGCGCAUCGAGGGCUCGAAAAAAUUGCCGGGCGUCGGCUCGACUUUCAACGCGACCCCAGGUCAGGCGGGGUUACCCGCUGAAUUUAAGCAUAUCAAUAAGCGGAGGA